rnacentral:lncRNA from 1 species
ACCCCUUCACCCACACUGUUCUGGCUGUUAGCUAGCACCACCAGCUACCCGGACGACAUCCGAAGAUGGUCCUCGAGAGGAUUUCGCCGCCUUCGCGGAGUGGAGUCAGGGGAGAAAGGAAUUGCCAUUCACCACCAGCCCCAUGGAUGAUCUACUCCAGACCCAGUGCCCAGCCUACUGCGGUGUGGAGCAUCAGCCCGAGCCCACCGAUGAUGGAGAGCCCAUUACCGCCGCGAUAAACGAGCCAGCGCAAUGCCGAACAGAGGAUUGCCUCGGAUGUGGAGCCCCACCCGUCAGAACAGGUGCGAGAGCCCGCCGCUAGGGAGCAAGCCGUGGACAGUGACAGCGUGGAGUGGAGCUCCGCCCACUGCACCACGGCAGAGGGUGAGCUAAUAAUUCAUCUGGAACUGCUGGACUUAGAGGGGGACCUGAUAGACUGGGAAACAGAGCUGGAACCCGACUUGCCCCCACUCCACUCACCUUCGUCCCCACUGGUCCAGUCCUGCCCUGAGGGGGCUCCCGUUUCCCAGUCCAGCCAGGUCUGCCAUCCUCCAUCAUCCUUCACCUCCACCUCCAGCCUCCAAGGACUGGACUCCGCCUCGGCCUGUAGACCCAACAGCUCCACCUCGGCUCCAUUGGGCUCCUUCCUCCCGCCAGCUCCACCUAGGUCCUCAGUUGCUCCGGCUCCGCCGCGGAUCCCCGGAUCUCCGCCUCGGUUGCCAGAGCCCUCGGCUCCACCCUGGCCCCCCAGAUCCUCGGCAUCCCCCUGCUCGUUGGCUCUCCGUCUCUGCCUCAGGCUCCUCCGCCUCCUGCUCUGCUGUCGUUGGUCAGCCCCCUGGAGACGGCGGCCAUUCCUCCUCCAUGGCUCCUCCCUCCGUCCUAUGGGCCACCAUAAUGGCUGUGGCCUUGGUCCAGCUCCUCCUGCUCCAAGUCCUUCCUGUUUCCUCCCUGGCUCCUCCCUCCGUCUGAUCUGCCCUGGCUCGUCCUGUUUCCUCCCUGGCCCCUCCCUCCAUCGUCACCUCCCUGGACUCUGUCUGCCUGCCCCGUCCGGGGUGUCCAUCCUCUUCCCGAGCCUCCUCCCAAGUACCCACCCAUGCCAAACACCCCCUCCCCCAUUGUUCUACAGCGCGAGGAUGUGCCUUACGGGAGGGGGCAAUAUGUCAGGAUCAUGGACCUGUUUUGUUGUGUUUUGCCCCUGUUUCUGUUCCUGUGUUCCCUUAUUUGUUCAUGGUCCUGUCCUCGUUUAGUUUAAUUAAUCAUUCAGUGCACCUGUAUU